UACGUGGGUGGCAAGCGUGGUCCGGAAUUAUUGGGCGUAAAGCGCGCGCAGGUGGUUCCUUAAGGCUGAUGUGAAAGCCCACGGCUCAACCGUGGAGGGUCGUUGUAAACUGGGGAACUUGAGUGCAGAAGAGGAAAGUGGAAUUCCACGUGUAGCGGUGAAAUGCGUAGAGAUGUGGAGGAACACCAGUGGCGAAGGCGACUUUCUGGUCUGUAACUGACACUGAGGCGCGAAAGCGUGGGGAGCGAACAGG
rnacentral:misc_RNA from 1 species